CAAGAGGUAGUUUGAUCCCAAGAAUUUUG
rnacentral:tRNA from 1 species